AUUGAACGCUGGCGGCAUGCCUUACACAUGCAAGUCGAACGGCAGCACGGGUGCUUGCACCUGGUGGCGAGUGGCGAACGGGUGAGUAAUACAUCGGAACAUGUCCUGUAGUGGGGGAUAGCCCGGCGAAAGCCGGAUUAAUACCGCAUACGAUCUACGGAUGAAAGCGGGGGACCUUCGGGCCUCGCGCUUUAGGGUUGGCCGAUGGCUGAUUAGCUCGGUGGUGGGGUAAAGGCCUACCAAGGCGACGCUCAGUAGCCGGUCUGAGAGGGCGACGAGCCACACUGGGACAGAGACACGGCCGAGACCCCUACGGGAGGCAGGUGGGGGGAAUUUCGGACAAGGGGCGAAAGUCUCAUCCAGAAAUGCCGCGUGUGAAGAAGGCCUUCGGGUUGUAAAGCACUGUUGUCCGGAAAGAAAACCUUGGCCCUAAUACGGGCGGGGGAUGACGGUACCGGAAGAAUAAGCACCGGCUAACUACGUG
rnacentral:rRNA from 1 species